AACUAUCAAAACACCCCCUGGAUAUGGGGUGUUUUGGACUUUGGGAGCGUUUUGCUGGCCUGUUUGAGCCGGCUCUCCUCAAAUGCAUUAGCUUUGGAGACCAUCAGUGUGAUAACCAUGUUUACGCUGACUGAGUGUGUCUCUGCUUCUUGGAUCC
rnacentral:misc_RNA from 1 species